rnacentral:rRNA from 1 species
CACGUAGGGUGCGAGCGUUGUCCGGAAUUAUUGGGCGUAAAGAGCUCGUAGGCGGUGUGUCGCGUCGGCCGUGAAAACCUGCAGCUUAACUGUGGGCUUGCGGUCGAUACGGGCAUCACUGGAGUUCGGCAGGGGAGACUGGAAUUCCUGGUGUAGCGGUGGAAUGCGCAGAUAUCAGGAGGAACACCAAUGGCGAAGGCAGCUCGCUGGAACGGUACUGACGCUGUGGCGCGAAAGCGUGGGGAGCGAACAGG